GAUGAACGCUGGCGGCGUGCCUAAUACAUGCAAGUCGAGCGAAAAGACGAGGAGCUUGCUCCUCUGACGUUAGCGGCGGACGGGUGAGUAACACGUGGAUAACCUACCUAUAAGACUGGGAUAACUUCGGGAAACCGGAGCUAAUACCGGAUAAUAUAUUGAACCGCAUGGUUCAAUAGUGAAAGACGGUUUUGCUGUCUCUUAUAGAUGGAUCCGCGCCGCAUUAGCUAGUUGGUAAGGUAACGGCUUACCAAGGCAACGAUGCGUAGCCGACCUGAGAGGGUGAUCGGCCACACUGGAACUGAGACACGGUCCAGACUCCUACGGGAGGCAGCAGUAGGGAAUCGUCCGCAAUGGGCGAAAGCCUGACGGAGCAACGCCGCGUGAGUGAUGAAGGUCUUCGGAUCGUAAAACUCUGUUAUUGGGGAAGAACAAAUGUGUAAGUAACUAUGCACGUCUUGACGGUACCUAAUCAGAAAGCCACGGCUAACUACGUG
rnacentral:rRNA from 1 species